UACGAAGGGGGCUAGCGUUGUUCGGAAUUACUGGGCGUAAAGCGCGCGCAGGCGGUCUUCCAAGUCAGUGGUGAAAGCCUGGAGCUCAACUCCAGAACUGCCAUUGAAACUGUUAGACUUGAGUACGAGAGAGGUGAGUGGAAUUCCCAGUGUAGUGGUGAAAUACGUAGAGAUUGGGAAGAACACCAGUGGCGAAGGCGGCUAUCUGGACGGUUUCUGACACUAAGACUCGAAAGCGUGGGGAGCAAACAGG
rnacentral:rRNA from 1 species